CACAGGGCUCUGGAUCUGCUCCUGCUGAGCUCUCCCUGCCCUUUCCCACCAGGAGCACCAACACCCUGACCUCACAGAGGUGGCACGUGGCCCAUGGGGUGUCCCCAGCCCAGCCAUGGUGGCACUGCCACCCCCAACACUCCACACUGUCACUGUGGGUGCCAGGGAGACACUUUGCCUCUCUCCCACUCCCAUUCUCUGCCAUCUGCAGAUGGUUAUGGCAAAGCUUGAGGUCCACCAGCUCCUGAACAACCUCCUCCAGCCAUCCUGGAACCACUGAUGUCAUUAACUGGUGCUCAGCAGCCAAAAAUGAUAUUGUGUUCAUCUGCAUUUGGCUUGUAGUGCCCUGUACUGGUCUGUAUUUGCACUUCCAUGUAUGGUUCUGGAUGUAAAUUGACUUUUACUGCUGUGUAUAUGGAUUGUAUCUGGAGCUGCAUUUGUAUCCAUUGCUUCCGUGUGUUUUGCUGCAGUGUCAAAAAAACAAUUCAUUCUACAAAGUUGAAUAAGCCCUAAUAAAGAUGCCUUCCCAUUC